rnacentral:rRNA from 1 species
UACAGAGGUCUCAAGCGUUGUUCGGAUUCAUUGGGCGUAAAGGGUGCGUAGGUGGCGCCGUAAGUCAGGUGUGAAAUCUCGGGGCUCAACCCCGAAACUGCACUUGAUACUGCGGUGCUCGAGUACUGGAGAGGAGAUUGGAAUUUACGGUGUAGCAGUGAAAUGCGUAGAUAUCGUAAGGAAGACCAGUGGCGAAGGCGAAUCUCUGGACAGUUACUGACACUGAGGCACGAAGGCCAGGGGGAGCAAACGGG